rnacentral:lncRNA from 1 species
AAAAGAUGAUGUCUCUAUUUCACUUUGAAUAUUAAAACCUUACAACCUAUGAUCUUAACAUUGCCUACUUAAGCUCCCGCUUAUCUAUUUGCCUGUGUUCUGAUUAAAGCCUUGUUGAAACUGGUGUGGUUCUUCAGUUGAGUCACAUCCAUCAAACUUCAUUACUCAGAUGCAAAUCAUAUAAUACUAAAAACACUGGAAAAUUACAAACACGUAAAACUCCUUUCCAUACGUACUAAUUACUGUUAUAUAGCAUUUUUUAGUUAAAUGGUUUUAUGAUUUGUGUCUCUGAAAUAUAAGAUUAAGGAGAGCUCUUUUGGAGAGAUUUAAGAAGACAGAAAUUCAAAGUGGUGGAAAUACAAAUACAAUUUUAAAUAACUUAAUGCACAUUAUCUCCUGUAUGUGUAUAUAGGCUGUGAUUUUCGCUUGACCUUGCUAUGAUUUUGACUCGAGAUGUUUCCUUCAAAUUAGUGAAUGAUUUCUUCUUACCCCUUCUCUUUAUUUUGGGUAUAUGGUAAAACAGAAAACAGGCCAUACUUUGAAAUAGAUUUUCAUACAGAAAAGGACUAGUAAGGGUGCAAAUCCUGUAGAAAGCAAAUAGGAAGUCAUUGCUUCACUACCCGUUGCACAGCUGAGGGCAUUGGCUUUUGUUAUUAAAGCUCGUGAUAUUUUAUACUGAAAUUUGAACUGAUAACUGAUUUUUUUCUUGUUUUUAACCUCAUGCUCUCUCCAACCUGUGACAUCUUGGCUCGGCAGCCCAGUCAUCCCAUAGUGCCUAUUCCAGAAAAUGAAACACUCAGCUCUGAGGAGGCUGCCAAUGAAAGAGGUUCUGUUUAGCCAUAAUGCCUUGAAUUAGGAUCCAGAGCUAAACCUGUAAAGGAUUUUGAGGCCUCUUCCUAUACUGAGAUGGAAUCCACACCACAAAUGUUAUUUAACACACCACUUCAAAAAAAAUUGCUUCCAGUAUACUAGUUGCAAAGCAGUCAUAACUGUCAAAUAUUCUUUCCAGAGAUAACCAUACGUACUAGAGUAAUUAACCCCAGAGAUACACACACGAAUGUGGCAUAUUUAUAUAUCGUUUCUUGAAGUGCUUACUGGUUUAAGAGGUGCCAAGAAUAACACAGCAUAUUUUCUUUAGAAAUAAUAUAAAUGUUGACAUUAAAUAAAGUGUAUUUUUGUUGCA